GGCGACGUUCAAGUGGUUAGGUCGGCUCCAUGGAAUGGAGGAGUUGCGGGUUCGAAUCCCGCAGCCGUUC